CUCAAUCCAGCGCAAGAACCUAUCUACGAAUAUAUUUAUAGUUAACAAUUAACUUACAAGUAAUUAAUCGUUUUUAAAGUAUUCAAAUGUUACUGAUAAAGUGAAACAAAAAAUAAUUAAUAAUUUUUACUUUGCACCCCGUUUUGAUUGGAACACACUGAAUUACAUCACUUCCGGUCGGCGCCUCACAUGCAGUGUAGUCGCAUAAGUUUAUUUUCUUUAGUGCAUCCAAAGCUCGAAUUGGAUCGGAUAAUUACACACCUGCAGAUGGUUGGGACCCCGUGCAGCCCCUUUCUGAUUCCCUUUCCGUGUUUUCGGCCGUCAUUUGUCAUACAGUGGAAAGGAGUGACAAUAUAACCCCUCUAUAAUAGAAUAGAAGCUCAAGAUUUCAGCAUUUCUAAAGGAAGCUGCUCACAGAGAUGUUGAAUGAAAACUUGAUGACUGCCAAGAAACACCGAAAGGAGAAGUAAAUGGAUUGUCCCUGCCAAUGUACACUGACCACAGGGCGAGUUCCGGUGUGGUCACGUGGAAAAUGACGUCAAUGCAUACCCUCUAUAGUGAUGGGGACACUAUACUAUCAAAAAGCACCAUCCUUCGGAUGAGACGUUAAACUGAGGUCCUGACUCUCUCAUUAAAAUUCAAAGGAUGUCAUUUGAAUAAAAGUAGGGGUGUGCCCCGGCAUUCCUGGCCAAACUUGCCCAUUGGUGUACUAAUCAUCCCCAUAUAUACUAAUUGGCUAUAUAACUUUGUCUCCUCUCCACUCAUAAGCUGUUGUAUGGUGGGCGUUCUGGCGCAAUAUGGCUGCCGUCGCAUCAUCCAGGUGGAUGCUGCAUAUUGGUGGUGGUUGAGAAGAUUCCCUCAUUCAUAUGUAAAGCGCUUUGAGUGCUGCAGAAAAGUGCUAUAUAAAUGUAACAAAUUGUUAUUAUUACAGGUUCAAUGUUUAAAAGUAAAAGUUCUUAAAAGAUGUUCACACAAUCGUACUAGUGUCUACUAUAAACACUUCACUUAAUAUAUAUAGUGAUUGGAUUGUUCAUGACAUAAUACCAUAAAAAUUAUAAAUGUUAUAACCUUGUUGUAAUGUUUUUAUAAUUUCACGCAUUUCUGCGUGUCUCCUAAAACAUCUGCCUCGGGCCCGCCCCGGAAGGCCUGAGACGAUGGCCUGAUUCGUGUGGCCUGAAUCGUGGGUGCUGCUGGGCUGCAGUUGGAUACUAUUGGUUGAGAAAGCUCAUUAAAUUACUUCAUAUGCACUUUUUUCACAAUGUAUAACCUUGCAUCUUGUUGUUUUGUUUACUUUCAUUACAGUUAUUUAAAGAAGGUUUUGACAUCCAAACAUUUCUCCAUGCUGAUGGCCAUGCAGCAGAGUUCAAACAGACCGGUCAGAAAACACCUCUAAGGUGCUAUGAACCAUAUGGCUAGUUACAGAAGCUCCAGUAUAUGGAUCCAGCAUCACUUGUGAAGACUUCAGAUGACGCCUACACUCACAGAGACUUCAGAUGAUGGCAACUAAAGAUGGACAUACAAAACUGCCAAACGUUAUAUUGUAAUCACUGCCUCGAAGCAUACGUUUGCAGAUUUGCAACCCACUUUAUAUUUUACAAUAAGUGGUAAUAUUUGAAUGGACAAUGUUUACUUUUUUCUUUAGUUAAACUUGUACUGAGAUAUUCCCAUUUAUUUGUCUGCAAUACUCUUUCGAAUACAUAUAUUACAGACAUUGUAACAACA